GCUUCCCGUCGGGAUCCGUAGGGCGGUGGGGAGCUAGCUGCGGCAGCGACGGUGGCGGUGGUGGCAAAGCUCUGUUCACAGCGUACCGUGUCGGUCCUGCAGCGGUUGCUCAGUACCGGGCGGUAGCAGCAACUGCCACGACUCACGGGGAGAGCUUGGAAGAGCAGCGAGGAACGCCAGGAAAGGG
rnacentral:lncRNA from 1 species